AAUUUUUGUGGAAAACCAAAGUAAAUUGAAAUUAGGCAUUUAUUUAUUUUUUUAUAUAUAUAUGACAGUCAUCCAUUAUUAUAUACAAUUAUUUGAUGUAUGGAAACACAUGAUACUAAAUGAUAAUUUCAAUAAUUUAAAUUCUAGUAUUGUUUUAAAUACAGCAAUAUAUUUUUAUUACAGUUGUUAAUAUACAUACAUACCCACCUUCAGCAUCAGAAAGCAUCGAUGAUCUCUGAUCAGGCAGAAACGAAAUCAUACACCUUUCGGAUAAUGUCACAUACAACACAAGUUAGUAUACAUGUACUCCCUCUGUCAGCAACAGAAAGCGUCGAUGAAACUAAAUCAACCGCCGUUGAGAUACCGCCACCUACACUCAAGGUAUUUCAAGAGACGUGCCAAUUUAGAAAGACAUUUCUAUACACAUUUUGGAGGGAAAAGUUAUGAUUGCGAAGCUUGUUUUAAAUCAUAUACAUUCAAAUUUAAUCUGAAAUAUCACAUUGACUCUCAACACAAUGAUAAUCCGCAGGAAGGGUUAGGUUACUUGAGGGUACUUGAGACGUUUUGGUAAUAUGUAAUGCAACUAGUCAUUUAAAAAAUAUAUAUAUUUCCAUCGAAAAUAAUAUGUAAAAAUAUAUAUAAAACGGAGUUAGUACAAUUGUACACUAUAAUAACGUACAUCAAUUUAUUUAAAGAUCAAAUUCAUGGAUUCUUUGUCAGUCAUACCAUAAUCAUACUAAACGUUUUACCAUACAUUAAAUGUAACUGUACGCAGUAGACAAAGAAUUUGUGGAAUUUAUAAAUAAAAUUGGAUUCAUGGUGGCUGAUGCAAUAAAUCAUGAACAAAAACGGUAAAUUUUAAAAACAAUAUUCAUCACAUUACUAAAAUAAUAAAAAUAAAUAAUGUUAAAUAUAAAUUUAUUAAAAACGGAUUCUUCCCAAAUUUCAAAACCGUUAUUGACGAUCAGUCGGUCAUAUUCUAAUUUUUAUGCCACAGGAAGUUGUUAUAGAUUUUAAUAAAAUGUUGACAUUGGCGUGCAUUUAUAUUUACUAUGAAAAUUCAUUGCGAUCACGAGAUGACACACUAUCCAAUAUAUAUGGCCAUAUCAAAGUAGUUAUGUCUAUAAUAUGCUGCAACUAUAUCGAUAUAAAAAAUACAAAGACCACACUACAACAUUUGGCGAAUGAAAAUUGUUUAGAAGAGAAAAAAAAACAACUAUACAAUUUAUGCUUCCGAUCAAUCAAAAACAAUAUAAAACAUCCAAAUAGUCAACAAAAUUUUAAAUAUUACUUAUGAAAUAUGUAUGAAGACAUCUAUAUUUUACAAUCUGCCAACAACCGGUUACACCUAAGAAAACCAUUUGACAAAAAGCCAUCCGACACAAAGCCAUCCAAAAUCAACAUAAAGGCACGCGACAAAAAGCCACCUGACAAAAGACCACCAUUCAGUCUGGCCAAUUUUGCACCAUCUUUUAUCACAAUUAUUUAAAACGACAAAAAACUAUCAAAAUAAUUAAAUAUUGUACCUAUUAUCAAAUAUCAUUUAUCUUGAUGUUCCUAAUUAAUUUUUAUCAUUAUUCACUAUAUUAACUUAUCAAUUAUCAUUAACUCGUCAUUAUUCUAUGAGUAUUUUAAAAUUGGAAAUUGUUUGUACAUCUUAAAAUAUUAAUAAAUCACUUUAAAAAAAAAAUUUUAUAA